rnacentral:rRNA from 1 species
UACGUAGGGUCCGAGCGUUGUCCGGAAUUAUUGGGCGUAAAGGGCUCGUAGGCGGUUCGUCACGUCGGGAGUGAAAACUCGGGGCUUAACCCCGAGCCUGCUUCCGAUACGGGCAGACUAGAGGUAGGCAGGGGAGAGCGGAACUCCUGGUGUAGCGGUGGAAUGCGCAGAUAUCAGGAAGAACACCCGUGGCGAAGGCGGCUCUCUGGAACGCAACUGACGCUGAGACGCGAAAGCGUGGGGAGCAAACAGG